rnacentral:lncRNA from 1 species
GCUUUACAGUAUCUUUUACAAAUGUCAGAUCUAAUAGACUUAAAACACAUGAACUUCAAAGUGCAAUUAUAUAACUAAUUUCUCCCAUUACAGAAACAACUUUACUGCAGACAUGUGUCUUCUAAAUACUCUUCAAUUGUUAAUAUUUGUCAUGCUAUGCUCAUACGAAUACAUGUUAGGUAGAAAACAUUGUGGCUACUUUCCCUGUACAUUCCAGAAAAGUAGUGGCAGGAGUAACAACACAGUCCCAAUGUAUAAUUUAUAAUGGAUCUAAAAUAUAUUUCAAUGAGAAAAAUUAAUAAUUUAAACACAUUAUAGCUGCCAAAUUUGUUCAUUAUAUAUUCAUGUGAAUGUCAUACUACUGAAUGUUGAAGUGAGAUACUUACAUAGUUUUAACAUUUUCAUAUGUGGGAGUGCUAAUAACAUACAUUUACAUACUAUUUUAAAUUAGACAAAAAUAGAUGCAUCUUUCAUGCUUGGAUCUUCUGGACCAUUUUUUUUUAUUAUCAAAAUCACCUGUUACAUUAAAAUUGAGGGAUUAAAUGUCAGCACAGAAUCACAUAGUUUAUACAACACAGGAUAUCUCUGUUAGCAGGUCUAAGAUUUAUAAAUAAUUUAAUCUAAUUCUGACAAUAUAGGCACUAAAAACAACAGCAAGCAAUGUAACGGUAAUAACAUAAGUAUUAUAAACCACAUGGCCAAGACAUUUAACUCUCAACAAAUUCACAUAUUCUUUCCUUCCCAACAACAACAUAAGAAAUGUUGUUGUUAUCCAUUUUAUAGUAGAUAAGCUGACAAUAGAAAUAAUGAUAAUUUACUUAAAGAUAAUUUUUAUUGAACGUAACUUGAAAGUAAAUGACACAUUGCUUACUUGUAAAAAUAAAACAGUGAGGCCACCAAGAACUACGAAUUCAACAAAACUAUCAUUUUUACUUCUUAAUGACUGAUCAACACCACUCCAAUAUGCCCUACCCUGCAUGAAGUCCUUUCUAGUAGCAUGAGAAAUGUUUUGUUUUCUUUUGAAGAGGCCAAGGCAUGGAACUAUCACAGGGAAAAGAGAUUCUAACUUUUACCAGUCAAUACAUUGUAAAAGUUUCAUGAAUUAUAAUAUCAAGAUUAAUUGAAAAUUUCUUUUUCAAAGACUUUUGUUUUCUUCAUUUCCUUGUUUAAGGUGGUUUUGAAAAGCAACACAGAUCUCUACAUUUUCAUAAAGCAGCACAUAUAACAGAAAGUGCACACACCUUUUUAGAACAAUAAAUGUUAAAAAUAAGAGUUUCUUCUUUAGGCGUUCGUAGUAACAAAACUUACAAGGAAAAACAUUAUUUUGCACGUUCACUGUUUAGUUAGUGGUGUGAUUGUGUCAAUAGUAAGCCUUUUUUUCAUUUUGACAAUAUUACAUACAUGCACAAUAAUAAAAUUGUAAGAAGAGUUGAUAUUGAAGGAAACUAACCAACUAAGCCACAACUACUGAUGUAUAGAAAUGAAGAAUGAAUGAGAAGAGAAGGAUAGAAAUGAAGAUAACAAGACUACUGAUGUAUUGAUUGAAGGUUUAUUCUUAAAAAAACAAAGAGAUUGUUCCUAGUGAUUCUAUUUCAAAUUUAAAUUUUGUGAGGUAUUAUAACUAUAAUGUGAUUGUUCGUUGCUUAUUACUCUCAGUUGCAACAUUGGUGCAUUUAUUUUGAGACUUAUAAGAGUUAAUGAUGAACAUGUGAAAUGGUGCAAUUUUUUUAAUUUUGUUUGGCUUCCUACUGAUUUUCAUGUGAAAGUCACAUAAGGUUUAUUUAAGAGGCAUUUAUGGGCUGAAUCUUCUGUUAAUAAGUUGCAAAUGCUAAUGAGGUAUCGAAUCUAAUAAGAAAUGAUGAGGAAGCUAAGGCUAGGCAGAAGCAGGCAAUAGAUUGUAUGAUGAGUAUCCGUAAAGUUAUAUUAUAACAAUAAUAGUAAUGCCUCGUGAACUUCCAUAUAGAAUUGGAGUAAUGUGAAGGAGAGACUGAUAACUUACCUGAAACUGAAAGAUUCAAAAGACUAAACAAACUUGAAACAACAGCAAGAUGAACUGUCUGGAAAAGAGAAGAUGAAAUAAAGUAGUAAAAAAACUAAAAAGUAUCAGAAAAAGAACAAGGAAAUAAACACCCAUUUAACUUUUCAAUAUCAACAUUGAUACAACACAGCCAAAUUAACAUUGAAAUUCGAAAUAAAAAUAAAGAUCAUACAAAAGUAAUAAAUAACGCAACACAAAAACUAAAGGGAAGAGAUGAAGGUUGAAGAAUAUUGGAGAGAAAGGAUUAGACGAAAUAAUAAUUAACAAUAUAAUCUAGGAAUUUCAUAUCAUAAACUUUGAAAGCAUGAAGAGAAUUGACAGAAAAUUGAGAUAAAAACAUGCAUGAGUUGGAUCACCCGAUUGAGAAGAUGAAAGAAAGGAAAGUAUAGUUUUCAAAAGUUUGGAAAAAAAACAAAGAUCAUGGCAAGAAAAUAUGUUAAAUAUAAAAAAGCACCUAUGAAUUCAGCUAUCAAAUUGAAAUUUGAAGAGAAUCAAGAGAUAGCUUGGGUAAAAAUUGGGAGAUAUACUAACCGCAAAUUGGUACAAUCAUCAGUGCAAAGAAAAUUGUACUUCAUUCGAGAGAAAAAUAGAGCAGUGUGAGUGUGGAUGCUUCUGGAAUAAAGUUGAGUGUUCUUUUUUUGCGUAAAA